AGAUCCCUUAUAAUUUUGCGCUUGCAAAAAAAAGAAGCUAUAGCUUUGCUCUUAGAAGUCUAUACCUCGKGUAUGGUAGUAGUUAAGUUAAGUUUAAAAUAACAUAACUAGCUAUAUAUACGUAGUCGUAACUGGAAGGUUGAUCGACCACAGUGGGCCUGAACAAAGCCCACGAUGAUUAUUACAGCAGUGAGGAAUAUUGGUCAAUAGCCUAACGGCUGAACCAGCAACUUGGAGGAAUGUAUAGCUACGGCUAAUUGUGUAUAAUUACACGAUAUCGACUCUGUCGAAUAAAGUUCUGGGUAAUUUAUGAUAAUGACAUUUUUUACCCAUGUGUCUUGACCAAAUUGUGUGCCAGCAGUCGCGGUAAUACAUAGAAGACUAGUGUUAUUCAUCUUUAAUAGGUUUAAAGGGUACCUAGACGGCAAAUCAAGCCAUAAACGGAACUAAUUUGCUAGAGUUACUUAUGAGGGGGCUUUAAAGUACUAAUGGUGUAGAGAUAAAAUUUUGUAAUACCAUUUUUCGUAAAGAAAAGUUAUGGCACUGGUAAAGGCGAAGGCAUCCCCCUAUGUGAUAACUGACGUUGAAGGACGAAGGCUUUGGGUCGCGAAUAGGAUUAGAUACCCUAGUAGUCAAAGCAGAAAAUUAUGAGUGUCAUAGAUUAGACUGGAAAGUUUAUUCUAUAAAUGAAAGUGUAAGCACUCCACCUCAAGAGUAAUUUGGCAACAUUGGAACUGAAAUCAUUAGACCGUUUCUGAAACCAGUAGUGAAGUAUGUUGUUUAAUUCGAUGAUCCGCGAAAAACCUUACCACAAUUUGAAUAUUUAUAUCUCUGAUAUAUUUACAAGCGUUGCACGGCUGUCUUCAGUUAAUGUCGUGAGACUUUGGUUAGAUCCAUUAAAUUAACGUAAGCCCUUACUUUAUUUUUAUAUAAAGUAGUUCUCCACCAUAUUGGACAAGAUAA
rnacentral:rRNA from 1 species